rnacentral:rRNA from 1 species
GCCAGACUCCUACGGGAGGCAGCAGUGGGGAAUAUUGCACAAUGGGGGAAACCCUGAUGCAGCGACGCCGCGUGAGUGAAGAAGUAUUUCGGUAUGUAAAGCUCUAUCAGCAGGGAAGAGAAUGACGGUACCUGAGUAAGAAGCCCCGGCUAACUACGUGCCAGCAGCCGCGGUAAUACGUAGGGGGCAAGCGUUAUCCGGAUUUACUGGGUGUAAAGGGAGCGUAGACGGCGAAGAAAGUCUGAAGUGAAAGCCCGCGGCUCAACCGCGGAACUGCUUUGGAAACUUUUUUGCUGGAGUACCGGAGAGGUAAGCGGAAUUCCUAGUGUAGCGGUGAAAUGCGUAGAUAUUAGGAGGAACACCAGUGGCGAAGGCGGCUUGCUAGGCCGGAUCUGACACUGAUGCACGAAAGCGUGGGGAUCGAACAGGAUUAGAUA